rnacentral:lncRNA from 1 species
AUGCAGUGUCAGUUAUAGCCUGCCCGACCAUGCCUCAUGUAACAGAAUCACCGCUAGAGACCACUAGUACAUAUGAGUAUGAAGCCUCAGCUGAAACGGAAGAGCCACCUUCAGAAAGUAGUGGGUGCGUUCCCUUCCGCUACGGAGAGGAAAUCGUGAGCGGAUGCCUUGGCGAGGAAGGGAAGGUGGAGACAUUUGAGUUGGUGGGAGAGGGAGGAGCGAA